UCUACUUCUUCAGUACAGUAAGAAAUGUUCGCGUCGCAGCAUUCAUUACUUUGUCUUGCUGCCUUGAAUUGAUUUCAUCGGUCUCAAGUUUAAUUUGAUGAAUUUAAAUACAUACUUCCAUUUAGUAUUCCGUCUCUGAUUGCAUAUUGAAAAGUAAAUAGUGAAGUGAAAUUGCUUUUUUAUUGGAUUACUUUCCAUGUUCUGUAGAACGGAAACGAUUCAUCAGCAGACAUAUUUUUUUUAUUAUCCAGUUCUUCAUAAAGUGUGUGGUCAUUUGUUUCGAAAUUUAUAAUGUGUUAAUGAAGAUCAGCCAGUUAAAAUGGAUUACCAGAAGUACUUCGAUCAAUGAUUUAGGUCAGAAGUGGCGAUUUUUCCCAAAAUAAGAGCGAACGAAAAAGAUUGCACAAAAUUUACGUCUAGUUUAGAAUGUGGUGGUGUGUACAUUGAAGGAAGAUGCAAAUGUGAGUGCGUUAGGACCAACAAAAGGCUGCUCGGAAGAAUAUCAAAACCAUUGCAAAUGGUCUGUGUAAUAGGUGAGGGGGAAACAGAUCAAAGCUUGGCCAGUUUUUCUUUUUGUAUGCGUCAAAUGUAAAGCGUACUGCUCGCGAUUAAAAAUAACUAAAAUGUACGAUUCGGAAACCGCUCAGGAAAUCAAAACCUCUACAUGUACGUGUGAUGAUUAGACAUCUACCGUUGAAAUACAUCAGAAAAAACGGGUCGCAACAGCGACAGAAUAUUUGGUGGAAACAUUUGUCAUUCGUGCACAAUGUACAAGUACAUUUCUCGGUGGACAAAUUUCAUUCAACACCGAGAGUCUUCUUCUAUACGUAUGGAUUUUUGUGCAACACGUUCGAAAUGAAGAUAGGAGAAAGUAGAAAAACCAACAAUUUAUGCUUAAGUGGCUUUCAGCAAAAUUAGUGAUAUCUAUGCAGAUGAUAGUGAAAAUGCUGUGCCAAGAAUAGAAAAAGGCUAAUGUGUUAGUGCUAUACUCAGCCACAUUGGAAUAAAUAUUCGUGAUGCAAGCAGUGAAACUGUAACUUGCGUUCCAGGAAACACAAUUUGAUAAUAUCGAGAAGAGUGAUUUUAGAGAUACAUCGAUUUUCUAAGACGGUUUUGUUCUUUGGAAGGAGUUUAAAUACCAAUAAUCAUGGAUAUAGGAAUCGAACGAAACGAAGGAGUUGGUACUCUUUUUCAAUAUAUUGUCAACGACAUGAAGAAUUCCAGUCCAUUGUGGGAUGAUUUCAUUGCCAAAGCUACAAAAUUGCACGCAUGUUUAAGAGCGGCGAUUCAAGCAUUAGCUGCUUAUUUAGAAGCAUUCCAAAAAAUUGCCGAUGCAGCCACUAAUUCCAAAGGCGCUACAAAAGAGAUUGGCACCGCUUUAACACGAGUAUGCUUGCGGCACAAGGCAGUCGAAAAUCGAAUGAAAACCUUCACAAGCGCUAUCAUGGAUUGCCUGAUAGUACCACUGCAAGAAAAAUUAGAGGAUUGGAGGAAACAUGUAGCUGUUAUUGAUAAAGACCAUGCCAAAGAAUACAAACGCUGUCGAGCAGAACUGAAAAAACGUUCCAGUGACACUUUACGUCUGCAGAAAAAAGCUAAGAAAGGCCAGGCCGACAAUUUGCACAUUUUGGUAGAGUCGUCUAUGCAGGACGUAACGCUGCGGCGAAGUGAGCUCGAGGAGGUCGAACGAAAAUCACUACGUGCAAUCAUGAUCGAGGAGCGAUCACGAUACUGCGCUUUUGUAAAUAUGCUGCAGCCUGUGGUUCAUGAAGAAUGUGAGGUGAUGUCAGAAUUGGGUCACCUGCAAGAAGCAAUGCAACUAAUAGCAAUAGUAACAAAAGAUCCGUCUGUUCUGCCGCAAGCAUCUGAAGAAUUAAUUCUGGAGUCUAAAACAAAUAUCAACUUGUAUCCUGAUUCACCCGGUGGAUCUAAUUCCCAGGGUGGCUGUUCAAAUUCUUUAGGUUCACGCAAAAGUUCUGUAUGCUCAAUUAGCUCAAUGAAUAGUAGCAGUAGUGGAUCUCCGGGACACCAGUUUCAGCGAUCGCUAUCACAGUACUCUCCAGCGAUUCGUUUGAAACCAGGUGAAUCUAGUGAUAGCGGAUUUUGUUCUUCGCCAGCUUUAACUUCGCAGGCUUCUACACUCGCUAGUCAAUCACACGCCGUUUCAACCUGGCCACCACACACACAAGAUGGAGCUACCAGUGUCGAUAGACCUCAUACUAUUUCUUCGGCGUACGAAAAAGGACAUCAACGACCCGCACUCACGGUGUACACAUUCCAAAAUCCGGAGACUAUAUCCGAAAAUCAAAAGUCACCUGCGAAUAUUGCUUGUCGACCGCCACUACCUGUGAGAUGCUCAUCACUUGAAAGGCCACUGUCGACAGCUUCAAUAAAAAAUUGUAACUCUAAUGUUCCCAGACAAUGUCCCUCACCGAUUCCAGCUCAUAUAACCAAAGAACACCCGCAGCUGCAACCCACCUACGUCAAUAUGACAGAAUUGGCGUCUAUGGCUGCUACCAAAGUUACUAACAACCAUAAUAAUAACGCAACUAACCAGCCCCUUUCAUCGGUACAAACUCCUGUACAACCACAAGCUAUCGGGUACCAGCAGUUACAGCAACCGAAUUCACCGGUUUUAUCGUCCGCAUCAUCGCUUAUAUCACCAGACUCAUGUGCCACUAACGCAAUUAGUUCGCCGGAUGUUUCUGCCUGUAGCGCUCAAACACCGCAGAAUACGCCACAAACCGGAUCACCUCAAACACCUAUCUACAGUGUUAACAGUACAAUGGGUACUGUGGAUGUCAGUGGAUUGGAAAGUGGAGCGUCUUCGAUCAUCGUUUCUGAAAGUAUUCCAAGUAGUCCGAAACGUACAACUGCAAAUGAGAGUGAAGGCAAUUCUGACAACAAAAAGUCUCAAUCGGCAUCAACGUCUAAUGUUCUAAAUGAUAACCUACCUGAUCAGGCUCAUACUAACAACCAAUUAGAAAAUGUCACAGAUACAUAUAUCCUUAAAUCUACCGGUUCAGUUCUAGAAAAAACAUCAAUGUUCGAACAACAAAUCAACAAUAAUCAACAUCAGCAGCAAAUUUUACACAAUCCGCCAGUUCGACACGAAAACAUUUACGGACAUAAGAGCGAGGAUAUUUAUAAAACUGGGAAUCUGUUAGUUGCGGAUCGAGAUGCAGAUCGAAUUGACAAAGAAACGAUUAAAGAACUUAAUAUUUUAAUCGGUGAAUUAGACUUAUUCCAAAAGGAGCACGAAUUGCGAUUGGAAGAGGAUUUGCUACAGCCACAGUCAUUAAAAAAUGGUCUCGGUUACUCUAGCAACAAUAAAAACUUUUCGUCGAAUAAUAGUGAAUCGACAGGCGAUAAAAUCUCUGUAACAAGUUCAAUGAAUUUCGAAGGACCGAAUGUAUCAUUAAACACAACUAAUGUGGACAAUGAACAUCUUUUCCACAGUGAUAGUGAUAUUGCCAAAUGUGAGCAACAAAACAACGAUUCUAUUGAAUAUACAAGUGCAGGUUUUGAAAACCCUUCCUUCAUGCAUCUCAACGAUUCGGAAAUAGUUGUAAUGCGUCAAAACAAUUUUGAUAAUGUUGACCCGGAAAACUACUACAGCCAAAAUAUGAGUGAGGUUGUAGUUCUACGAUGCAAGGAUGUUUUGAAUGAAUCGAAUAAGGCUGAUGAUUCGAAUAGUUUCGAUAGUCAGCAGCGGCUGAGUUCCUUUAAACUUAAUAACUCACGAUCCGCUUCUCCAGCGUUGUCGUCCUUUGGUGUUUCUCGAUCGCCUACACCAUCUUUCUCCGUGCCACCAAGUUGCUCUACAACUCCCAUUAAUUCUUCGCCACAGCAUAUUAUUACCGUUCGAAGCAACAGCAGUAAUAACAUCAACAACAAUCAUGUGAUAAAUCAUCCUCAACCACAGCAACAAACUCUGCAACUUGCCCUCAACAAUGGUAAUCAGAAAUGCUCGUUGAUGUCAAUCCCUUCAGAUGAACGCAUUAAUAAAAUUAAGCCUGCAAUCACUCCAAGACCCGCAUCGUUAACUGGAACCAGUCGUAUUACAAGAAGAUCAUCUAUCAAUACUGUAAAACCCCCACCCCCAGUGCGUCGAAGUUCUAGCGUAACUCCAAACCCUAAUCAAGGAACCAGUUCUCCAAAUCUUGUGCAACAGAGUCUUGUGUAUACCUCAUCAGAAAGUUUACCACCUCCACCCGCAUAUUUACUCGAUAGUAAUGCUGGGCAUUCUCCAGUUCCAGGAAAUGUAGCCGGAACUGUAAAGGCCCUGAAUGAAAUUCGACACAAACCUGCUAGUCCCAGUGUGCUACGACGCGCCCCUCAUAAUGUGCCGAAUCAACAACAAUCAUUAACUAUGCAGUAUCCUACCAAUGCAUUAAGUAGCACGCCCAUGCCUGAAUCCUGCACUGCAUUGCCUUACACAUCACAAUUCUCUCCACAAAAUUCUGCUUUAUAUUCCACGACUAAUGGUAGUCCUAAUAUGUCAGCGAACCGUACUUCGAAGUCAAUACAUCACCAACAAGGCAUUUAUGCACAACCGAAACAGAUCACGAGUAUGUCAAGCUUUCGUGCCACAAGUCCAGGUCCGCAAAAACAAAAUAGUGGAUUACUAGCACAGUUGACGACUCGAAAUAUUCCUGGUAAAACUCAGCAUCAAUCAUCACCUCAGCAUUGUCAAUCGCAUCAGCAACAACAGUCCUUCGCUUACACUACAGCGCCUUCGAAUGAAUCAUUGUUCCAUAGAACUCAAACGGAGCAACAUUCUACCAUUAGUGUUGUUAAUCAGCAGCAACCACAAACAUCAUCUCAACAAACGCCAGCUCAACAUCAGCAACAAUCUUCGCAUUACCAUUACCACCAACAGCAACACUAUUCUGCAACCAAAAGCAGUGGCAGUCAAAGAGACGGUAAAAAUGUUAUUUAUUCACCUGCCCAUUCUCAAAACCAGCAGCAGCCACACCAUCACACUCAGCAACUGCAGCAUAACUCUCAACAGUACCAGCAAACGAAGCCCCAGUAUCUCUAUCAACAACCGCAGCCGCAGCAAUCUUUUGCAACUCAAAAUAUUUACAUAUCCACGAAUCCAUUCGCAACAGCAAAUCCAGUCCAUUCUAGCUAUUCUCCCUCAUCCUUUGGUAAAUCGUCUCGGGAUAGUCGUCACGCUGCUGGCAGUAAUGAAUGUUCCGGCCAAAGCGGCAAUGUCAUAAACAGUCGAUCAAAUUGUCAAAAUCGUACUAGUAGCGGCAAUGUCAGUAACACCAACAAUGUGCUUGCAAAAACAAGUGCGGGUUUUAUAGAAAACCUAAAUGCGAGAUUAGCGGAACAAAGACUCUCAGGAAAAGCGUUUGCGGUACGAAAUCUAAUAAACAGUAAAGCUCUGGACGAUGAACAAUGCCAUAAAUAUUAUCAAAAUGUUUAAUCUGCCCCACGAUUAUUCAUCAGCUUAGCUGCUUUAAUUGUCAAACUUGCCUGUUGACUGAUAUUCUUCUGUUUAUAAGCCGGAUCCACGCAUUUGCCAUGAAUCACUAAUGGAUCAAAUCAAACGCGGUGCAACGCUAAAACGAAAUCGGACGAUUAACGAUCGAAGUGCGCCAAAAAUUCACUAGGAUAGUCGAGCGUAUAAUUAUUGAAGCCAAAUAAUCGCGAAUUAUUCGAAAUUCAAGUGAGUGUAAGAAUGUUUCUUGCGCUCGUCACUCGAAUGUGUCUCAAAUUAUUUGCGUUUCAUCCCUUCUGUUAUUGAGAGCUUUAUUUCGUUCAGUAUUAUACGAAGGGUUGAGAAAAACGAUAAUUACGUUUUGCGCCAGUCGGUCAAUGAGACGGAAUCUAUUUAUAUAUAUUUUACGUUCAAUCUAAUUAACGAACAGAAGGCAUGUCAGUAAAAUGACAGAAAGUUGCAUAUUUCAAA